AGUUUGAUCCUGGCUCAGGAUGAACGCUAGCGGCAGGCCUAAUACAUGCAAGUCGAGGGGUAGUUGGAGCUUGCUCCGAUGAGACCGGCGCGCGGGUGCGUAACGCGUAUGCAACCUACCUUCAUCAGGGGGAUAGCCCGGAGAAAUCCGGAUUAACACCGCAUAACAUCAUUUCAUAGCAUUGUGGGAUGAUCAAACAUUUAUGGGAUGGAGAUGGGCAUGCGUGCCAUUAGCUAGUUGGCGGGGUAAGGGCCCACCAAGGCUACGAUGGCUAGGGGAUCUGAGAGGAUGGCCCCCCACACUGGUACUGAGACACGGACCAGACUCCUACGGGAGGCAGCAGUAAGGAAUAUUGGUCAAUGGGGGCAACCCUGAACCAGCCAUGCCGCGUGCAGGAAGACUGCCCUACGGGUUGUAAACUGCUUUUAUCCGGGAAUAAACCUUUCUACGUGUAGAGAGCUGAAUGUACCGGAAGAAUAAGGAUCGGCUAACUCCGUGCCAGCAGCCGCGGUAAUACGGAGGAUCCAAGCGUUAUCCGGAUUUAUUGGGUUUAAAGGGUGCGUAGGCGGCCUGUUAAGUCAGGGGUGAAAGACGGUAGCUCAACUAUCGCAGUGCCCUUGAUACUGAUGGGCUUGAAUGGACUAGAGGUAGGCGGAAUGAGACAAGUAGCGGUAAAAUGCAUAGAUAUGUCUCAGAACACCGAUUGCGAAGGCAGCUUACUAUGGUUCUAUUGACGCUGAGGCACGAAAGCGUGGGGAUCGAACAGGAUUAGAUACCCUGGUAGUCCACGCCCUAAACGAUGAACACUCGCUGUUGGCGAUACACAGUCAGCGGCUAAGCGAAAGCGUUAAGUGUUCCACCUGGGGAGUACGGUCGCAAGAUUGAAACUCAAAGGAAUUGACGGGGGCCCGCACAAGCGGAGGAGCAUGUGGUUUAAUUCGAUGAGUG
rnacentral:rRNA from 1 species